rnacentral:tRNA from 1 species
GGGACGGUGGCGAAACGGCAUACGCAUCGGUCUUAAAAACCGAGGGGUGAACAACCCGUGUGGGUUCGAGUCCCACCCGUCCUA